rnacentral:rRNA from 1 species
GACGAACGCUGGCGGCGUGCCUAAUACAUGCAAGUAGAACGCUGAAGGAGGAGCUUGCUCUUCUGGAUGAGUUGCGAACGGGUGAGUAACGCGUGGGUAACCUGCCUGGUAGCGGGGGAUAACUAUUGGAAACGAUAGCUAAUACCGCAUAACAGUAGAUGUUGCAUGACAUUUGCUUAAAAGGUGCAAUUGCAUCACUACCAGAUGGACCUGCGUUGUAUUAGCUAGUUGGUGGGGUAACGGCUCACCAAGGCGACGAUACAUAGCCGACCUGAGAGGGUGAUCGGCCACACUGGGACUGAGACACGGCCCAGACUCCUACGGGAGGCAGCAGUAGGGAAUCUUCGGCAAUAGACGGAAGUCUGACCGAGCAACGCCGCGUGAGUGAAGAAGGGUUUCGGAUCGUAAAGCUCUGUUGUAAGAGAAGAACGAGUGUGAGAGUGGAAAGUUCACACUGUGACGGUAUCUUACCAGAAAGGGACGGCUAACUACGUG